ensembl:lncRNA
CAGGAAUCCUUGGUCUUCCAGAUGUCAUUACCCCCAGCAGCAGUGAUGUCUCCUCCCCACCAGGAUGGUCAUCGGAUGUCAGUGAGCAAAGCAGAUCAGGGAACUCAGAGGACACCCCACUGCCUGAUGAGGAUGUAUUGGGGAAUAAAAUAGGUGUCCCGGCCUUGUCGAUUCUCAUCUAUGCAGCAGUACGUCGGCAGGAGCCAACCUUUGUUGAUCGCAUCAAGGAGAUCCAUCAGCACAGUCAGCCCCAGAGGGCCGAGAGUAGCCGGCUGCAGGCUUCCUCUGGUAGAAGCAAGAACCAGCAAUGCAAGGAGGCCCUCGGGUUGCCCAACAGGGACAUCACGGGGCAGGAGGACCUCUGGAGCUGCAGGAGAAGAACCCUUCUGAAGCUGCUGAGGUGCUUGGGGGAGCUCUAUAAAUCAUGGCAGGGUGAGGGCUCCUACAAAGGCAAGCACCGACUCCCGUGGUCUAUUAAGAGCUGUCUGGCAGAGUUCAACGAGCAGUAAGAGCAUUGCUCUGAGCAGGAUGCUCAUGAGUUCCUGCUCCUCGUCCUCAUGAAGAUGAAGAUGGAAGGUGAGGCACUACAGGAGACCUCCACGUCACCCAGCUACAUCUGCCCCGUCCAGAACUUUGAGUUCAGACUGCAGUGUGUCUGCACCUGCUCAAGAUGUCCGGAUCUCUGCCCGUCUUAAAAGCUGUGGUGACAAGGGCUUCCUGGACGGGGAGCAGAACCACUUUCCUUUGACCUCCACCCUUCGUUGAUAGCCGGCCUCCAACUCUACUUCAAACCUUCAGAUUUGGAGUGCACCUGCCAGCAGUGCUGAAUGCCAGGCAUCAGAGAUUCAGCAUUUCCUCACUCUGCCCAGAGUGCUUCACAUGAAGCGCUUCCACCAUGACGGGGCAUGGUUGAGGAAGGUGACCGAUGCUGCCAGCGUUCCUCCAUGGCUGUCUCUGGCCUCCCUCGUUGGAAAGCAGGGUGCUGCAGCUGGGAUUGGACACACUGAGUGGAACAUCUUGACAGUGCAGGAGACAGGGACAGAGAACUCCAGGAAGUGCAUGUGGUGAGAGGGGGCAGAGGGGGAGGAUCACAGCAAGCAGAGCCCCCUCCGUCUGUAAGGGAAGGUCUCUCACCUCGGGGAGAGCAUCGACACUGGUAACUGAAGCUUUCAUAGUAAAAAAUGUACAUCUGUACCUGACACAUAGCCUGGCUCCGCCCGCCUAAGUACUUCCGCACAAUUUGAAUUUCCCUUCAAUUUCCCAUUCGGCUGGGUGGGACGGCGCCGAAUGGUUUACCCUCACCGCCGUGUGACGCCUGCGAAGACGCCGGUCCUGAGGACCAGAGAGGAGCCCGCCUACAUUUUGUCUACGUCCUCAGUGGAGCAGGCGAGAGAGACCAUAUCCCACUAAACGUGUAGAGAGAGACCCAGGGGCCCGAGGACCGUCCCCUGGAUGACCAUGGAGACGGAGAGACCCAGGGGCCCGAGGACGUCCCCUGGAUGAACGUAUAGAGAGAGACCCAGGGGCUCGAGGACGUCCCCUGGAUGAAUGUAUAGAGAGAGACCCAGGGGCCCGAGGACGUCCCCUGGAUGAACGUAUAGAGAGAGACCCAGGGGCUCGAGGACGUCCCCUGGAUGAAUGUAUAGAGAGAGACCCAGGGGCCCGAGGACGUCCCCUGGAUGAACGUAUAGAGAGAGACCCAGGGGCUCGAGGACGUCCCCUGGAUGAAUGUAUAGAGAGAGACCCAGGGGCCCGAGGACGUCCCCUGGAUGAACGUAGAGAGAGG